UCCAAUAAUUUGCUUUCCACACCCGGGAUUCGAACCAACUAAAAUCUGUUAAAAAUUACACCCUGUAUUUUUUUGCAUCGAUCGUUAGGGUUAAGUAUAAGGAUGAAAUCUCUCUAACAAACUUGAUAAAUCAAAUGAAAAGAAAACCAUGAAAUCUUAAAUUAUUUUAAUUAGGUACAGUAUCUACAGGAAAUUGUAUGAUAUGGUAGAGAAUUUUCGAAAAAUUUUCGAAAAUCUUUGAAUGCAGUUGUCUUUCUUUUCGAAAAUAAAGGAAUGUUUUCUUUCAGUAAAAUUUUCUAUCUACAGUAUUAAGAGUACUUUUCCUCCAGGUGGCAUUACAAAAUUCCACCCUGUAUGCUUAAAAUUGAAACAAAAUUUGAGGCUUGUUUAGUAAUACGGCCCUAAGACUAAUUUUGGUCUUGUCAGUAAAAAUGAAACGAAAAGAUGUGUAAAGAAGAGAAAGAAGAUGUAGAAUGUAGAAGAUAAAUGACUCGAUUUGCGGUAGUGGUUGUGAAAUAUCCCCUUUUAUUAGAGCUUAGUCUAAAGGCGCGGUCAAAUUGAGAGCUACCUAUUAGUUUAGCUAGCUACCUUAGCAAGAUCUUCAAGAGUUUAAACAGAUAAGUAAAUGCAGUAUGAGUUCUAAUGACAUCUCGCAUUUAGCUUAUUUGUUGUAUAGUUUGAAGUGUAAAUACGUUUUUUUAAUGUAGGUUAUUUUACAAAUUCAUUACUUCUACAGUAUUAAAAUUCAUGUUUUAAAAUAUCAAGCUUGCCCUCCCAUUCUCAGAGCUUCAAGCACUUAUCUUUAAGAAAAACAAGUCAUUAAGUGCCUUAUCAACUAAAGAAUCAGGGACAGAUUCGCUUAUGCUAAGAUUUUUCUUAAGGGGAAAGACCGCUCGGUCUACAUAGAAAAUGAGGGUACUUUCGAGUAUUGUGUAUUAUUGGUCUCUUGUAAUUGACUAAUGAAAGACCGACUUGGGACUUUAUUUGCAAUUUCAUACAAAAUAUUGUAAAGGAAAAAAAUUCUUGCACCAACAAGAGAGAAAAAAAUUUAUAAGAGCCGUGUCGAAAAUGGCACAACUCAAAAAAGGGGAAAAAACAACAUACCUUUUUUAUUAGGUGAAGGAAAAAAAUGACACAAAACUGCAUACAGUCAGCGUCAAAUAGUUUACACACAAAGUGGCCAAAAAAUUGAUAACACAACCUUAUUCCAAUUGUAACAAAGACGUGUUGCGAACUUUUUGACUACUUUGGGUAUCACAAAUUAUUUGACACUGAAAGUACCAAUUGCGACUCAACAUCACCCUUAUCUGCGACGAAAUAAGAGCGGUUUUUGCAGUCACAAUUGACCAGUCUGGUGUACACAUAAAAAAUAAAUUCAACAGAAUAACAACACAAUAUUAUAUUGUUCUUAAUAUAUUUAUUAAUCAGUCUUUCAUAUGCCAAUGUUACAAUACAAUGAGAGCACAAGCUUGAUAUUUCAAUACAAUAUAAUACAUACUAUAGUAGCUGUCAAGAAAUAAUACACAUCGACCAUACAAAAACAGAAAAACGCCCGAAACGAAAACAUAAGGUACAUAUUUUGUAAUUUUUUUCUUUGUAUUCACGUCAAUAAAGAUCAACGACAACGCAAGACAUCUUAAAAUUCAUCAAUUUUCUUUUUUUUUACAAGGAGAGAAAAAUACAUAAGAAUCUGAAUCCACUAGAUAAUACCUAUUUCCCUUAGCAGACAUUAUUUUUGAUCUAGUUCUUGUAAACAAGUAAAAAUUAACGACAAAUUGUUUAUAUAAGAUCGAUGUUUAUUAUCUUUUGAAAACUACAGUAAAAUAUUUUGUUGAUUACACUCCAAACGAUCAAAUAAAAAAUAAUGUUUCGGUGAUAGUUCUUUCUUUCGUUUAGAUAAAGUAAUGCCUUUUAGAUAGAAAGGAUAAUUUCUCAAUCAACCCUAAAUCGAGUCUUUCUCAAUAGAUUGAAAGUCAACAGGUAAAUUUAAAGAACACGAAACACGACUAACUAGAUGUCAAUUUUUAUAUAAUUUGAGACCAAAAAGUGCUACAUUAUUGUUUGAGUGAUUAAGAAAACUACUAAUAUAAAAUAUUCUCUCUCAACAAUUGACAACGUUUUUGUUGUUUGACUUCACGAACAUCUGUGGUACUCAUGUUGGUCCUUAGUAAAACAACUUUAUGUCGUUAGUUUAAUGACCAAAAUAAAUUGCAAAAAAAUACAUUAAGAACUAGUUUUUUUGCUCCUCGACCAACAAAAUACCACAGAUGUACGUCAAAUAUUAUCAAUAUAUUCUAUUACCCGUCUAUCUAAAGAUUUAUUAAAGCACAAUUCAAUCUCAAAUUAUAGCCCCCUAAACCAUGUACUUAAUUUGAAUUGAAACAACAUAAAUAUCUCACGAGAACCGAUAGAAGCUAGUGAUUAUGAGGCAAAACGAACACGAAUUUUUUUUUAUAUAAAUAUUUAAAUUUUUAUUUUUAUAGUGAAAAACCCUCUAAGUAAAUUCAUAAACAGACGCAUAAACUAUCGAUAGCUUAGAAUAUGCUAGACGAACAUUUAAGACACGAUAUACUUGCCCAAGUAACCUUUAUAAUUAUACGAUUUCCAUAUUAAUUUGAACCUUAACGCCUUUUCUUAAGGUCUAAAACAUUGUAUUUUAUUAGACCACAUAAUGGUUAAAGCCAAAAGCGGUAUAUUCAUACAGGGCAGUGUGUAUUUACGGACAUUUCUUCAAUUUAACCUUAUCAAGAAUACUCUAUUCAUUAACAACAAUUUUUAAACGUAUUUAAUUUAUGUCAAAAUAGUUGUUAAUAUUGAUAGUUGAAAGCAUUAUGUCAGUCUACGCAUAUACCAGCUAUCCAUUGGACUAACAUAUGGGCGAACUCAAUGGUGCCAAAUCCGAUUCAAGUAUUCCUAAUAAGUAACGUAAACUAAGAAACUUUUUUAAAUUUUUGAACUUUAAAUUACGAAAAUAUGACUUAAAAACUAUUAUUUGACUAAAUCCUUAAAAAUAAAGUUCUUACACAAAAAAGUAUAGAAACAAAAGCACUAAAUAAUUUACAGUUUUAAAUCCAAUAAUGUAUAAUACCAUAAUGAUCUUUAUCAAGUCACACAAAAAGUUCAUUUUAUAAAUUUCUCACGUCUAAAUCGAUUAACCACUAAAUAGGAAAUGCAAAGAAUAUAAAAACUACGAAUAAAUUGUUAUAUUUAACGUUGGACAUUCAACUAAAGUUGGAACCAAGAGUUCACCCAUGCCGCGCCUAACAACCACAACAUCGUCUAGAUAAACAAGGAGAUAUACUAGAACAGUGCAAAAGGCUAUUAUUUAGGAAAAAGAUCGCGUAUUCUGCACAUAGAAAUUCGAAAGGUGUAUUAUUUGACUAAAAGGUCGAUACAUAUUAAUGUAAUAUAGACUAGUUUAGCCAUUUGAUUUUCCAUUUCCAUCUGCUAGAACCCAUUGGCGUGAUCUAUUUUUGUCUACCACAAUUUUAUCCACAGUAGCGAAACGUUUAGAAUAACUCGCUUUUAUAAUUUCUGUAGCACUAAAAACUUGUCUUAAAAUCACUAUUAUCUAACAUUUUAUAAAUUUUCCUAACUACAUUAUUGCAUUGGAUUUGUUUUCGUCAGUAACUAGACUAUCUAGUGGAUAAAAUUGUAGGUUUUCUGACGACAACAUUGCAAUAUCGCUUAUUUUAGUAAGCUUGGUUUUGAAGCUUUGUAAAUGGAUAUCGUGCAAUGCUGAACCUGGUUUCUCUUCUAAUAAUAAUUUGAUCAAACUUUUACUCGCCGAUUUGUCCGGUAGGCUUCAGGCAAAUACAACGUUUGAGGUUAAUUAAAGUAUUGCAAAUACAUCUCUAUCGCUUUUUUUUUAAUGUCUCCUACAAUACCUAAAUAUUUGUUAAUUCGUUACAUUGCCCGGAAAACCACGUACUUUAAUCAUGUGAUUUUAAAGCUGAAUCAAAUGUAUUAAGAGAUGAGAAACUUAGGUUAAGUCGAUUUAUUUGUAUGCAUUUAGCUUAUCUCCGAAAUUAAAUAUUACGUAUACACAUAUACAACAACAUUAGUUUACAACCGUUACAUACCUGAGUCGAAACAUUAUAUCACAUUUUUUUUUCUCAUUAAGAAACGUGGCCGUCUAUCAGCAUCAAUAGUUAUUAUACAAAGUUUCUUCAAUAAAUACAUUGACUAAGUUUAUAAUAUUUGUUCGGCGGCGGAAUUCUAAAAUGGCUUCUAUAAUUUUCAAUAAAGCCCCUGUCUUUACGCGUCACUUGCAGCAUGAAACGUUAGAAAUUUCAAAUCCGUACACGCAAUUAUAGAACGUAUUGAUAGUGAAAAUAGAACACAUUUUAUGCUGCAAAUGACGAAACCGAGCGCUUAUUCCAUUUCAGAUGUAUCGGUGCUUUGAACGCUAGCGGACGAAUGCAAUAACCAUAUCCCUUCAUUUAUACAAAAUAUAUACACCCUACGCUAUCUUAUAAUGAACAUAACAGACUUGUAUUAUAACGAAAAGCUACAUCUAAAUUAAAAGUAUUUCUUAAUCGUGUGUUAAAAAUGAAAUCACUUCUGCUACUACUAAGUUUUUUUUGUUUCCGUCCAUCCUCGAAGCAUAGCGCUUCAACAAUUGUCUUGUCAAUUUCACUAAUAAAAACUAAAUCGGUUUUAUCAAAUAGAUAAGAUUUAUUUUAACGUACAAAAAUAACUGUCUUAACACAUAACUUUAUAGAAACUUAGUUUUUCGUAAUUCUUAAUCUACAUUCGGCUGAAUUUUGCAAAAAAGGACCACAUUGAAAUUGGUCAAAAUGGAUACAUUUUCACCAAUUAAGUUAUUAUAAGUCAUUUUUUGCAGAAUUCAAAUUCAACCAUAAUAUUGACGAGGUCUCAAGCUUUUACUCAUUUAAUUGAAACAAAAUGCUAUCUAAAUUAAGCCAGUGAGGCUA